GCUCCGCUGGCGCAAUGGUAGCGCGCCAGACUUCUAAUAUGGACCGUUAGCUGUGUGUUCGAGUCCCACGCGGAGUG
rnacentral:tRNA from 1 species